GGUUUUUCGCUUUGGGUUCAAUCGGGGGGUUUGUCUUAUCUCACGGUAAGUGCACAUGUGUUACUUGUAUUGAACAUAUGGUGUUUUAGAGUGUGACAUAUGUACAUGAAUUUGAGUAUGAUGCUCUCUAUUUGCAGGUCACGUAUAUUCGAUAUGUUGCACUCAGUUCCUAAGUUUGGAGUUUACCACAUAUUUCUUUGUUUUACAGCUUGAUUCCGGUCUGUGGAUGUCUACCGGUUUGACGUUUCUUAGUUACUGCUUGGAUAUUUUGCUUUGGGUCUUCGGUUCAGAAGGCAAAGAAGAGGAAGUGGAAGUACAAGGAUAGAGAUUUAUGGACUGUUCCUAGAGACUGAUUGGCUGCCCUGUUACUAGGCAGAUCUGGUUGUACCUGUUAUUAUUUUAUUGCAUAUCUACAUUUUUUCUCUUUCAGUUUUAUAUUUCUCUUUGCUGCUGAGGAAUAAAGUAAGAAAGAGAUAGCAUAAUAGGAGCCUCCGUGUCAUUAAUAAAAUCAUGACUUUACGUCAUGUUAAUAGUAAAAUCUGGGAAUUGUGUUUGGUUUCUGUGAGUGGAAACAGAGAGCUGAAAACCCUGAAGCAGUAAGGC